UUUAAAAAAAAAAAAAAAAAGAACAACUUUCUCCUCCCAGGGUUUUGAAAACCAUGCAAGAAGCCACCACCAUUUACAUUAACCAAUUUUUCUUUCUUAAAGGCUUCACUCCUGAGUUAGCUCGAUUUAAAGGAUUUUCUUUAACUUUUUGUGUAUCUCUUAUGUAUUUCUUCUGCACAGGGCCAAUAAUAAGAAGUGGACAAUACAGUAUUUGCUUCAUUGUGUGGGGGAAAAAACCUUUGUUAAAUGUAUGGAUGCAGACGCCUUGAUGAAGAUCUUAAUUUUGGUUAAAAAAAAAAUAGUGUUUUUGAAAAUGUACAAAAUAUCUAUCACUACUGAUAGGAGGUAAUAUUUCUGUGUAGAAAUGAAAAAAAAAUGGUUUGUUUUUAGUAUUAGUGUAGAUGUACACAUUCCAGCAAAUGUAUUUGCAAUUAUGUGGUCAAUGCUUUGUGAUAUAAAUGUACUUUUUCAAUGUAUACUUUAUCACUUUUAAAAAUGCCUGUUUUGUGCUUUACAAUAAAUAAUAUGAAACCUCCUGUGUCGGUAAGUUGGAUAUGUGGGUAUUGCAGAACUAUAGGAUUGAUUUGCAACGCUGAAUCAAGGUACCUGUACACAAAUGAGUUGGUUUUUUUUUCCCCCCCUGGUGAAACCUUGUUGAGUUUAAAAACUUGUCGUUAGCAUGUUUUUCCCCCCUUGCAGAAUAGUUGUAGAUGGAGGAUCUCUUUCAUUCAUUGUAUUUUGCUGCCUAGCACCAGUAAUCUUGAUACCUUAAUUUUCUUUCUAUUUGAUUCAAACUGCAUGUGUUUAAGAAGGUGAUCUUUUGGCAUACUCCAUUGCAUUAACAGUGAAAUUUCCUUUAGACAUGACCACUGUUUCAGACCUGUGCAGCUGCUAUAACAGAUAACUUUUGUUUUUAACGAGUACUUCAGAACUGUUCCUGCAUAACUAUUUUAUGGAUUUUUUCAGACUAGUUAUAAAACUUACUUUUAAGUGUAAUGUGCUUAAGCCUUCAGUUUAAAGUAGUCCACUUCAAAAUGCAGUGUAGAAAGUCAAUGUGGUUUGCAUAGUAGCUAGAAAAAUUGCAUCUGUCCUUGAAACGCUGUUUUGUUUGAGUGGUGGGAGCGGUUGAGAACUUCCUGCAGAGCAGAUAACUUCUGUUUUUGUAAAUAUUCAAGUAUUUGAAUCGACUGAUUAUUUUUCUAUAUAUACUUGAAACUUCUUAUUGCUCUAAUGCUCAUACUGAAAAGCUGAUUCUCUUGAAAUCCUAUGUUUGCUCUUUGCAUCUGUUAGAUGACAUGCACUACAGUCUGUCUUGCCAUUGUCUGUUGAAGUGCAGGUUUGAUCCAGCCAGUAUAGAACUAGCUCUAUAGGGGUGAGGAGGACUGUGCUGUGUAUCAUCCUUGAUUGUUCCUUCAAGGAGCAUUGCACUUGCCUUCCCAGACCUUCCACCUUAGGUUCUGCUGCAAAAAAGCAACAGUGCUGAAGAUGCUGCAAGCACCAAAUCAUAGCUCAUAGAAUCAGGUCCUGAGAUAGUUACUACCAGUAAAGAGGAAUCCUUUGAGUGUAUGCCAUUGGUGAGCCGAUGAGCAUGGACCAUAGAAGGGCUCCAUGUGGAAGGUAAAAUUGGCAAAAGCAUAACAGAUUUGCAAUGUAUCCCAUACAUAAUGGUGUAGGGUAUGAUUUUUGUUCUGAUCACUUUUCAUUCUUUGAACUAUUCUUUGUUUGACCAUAAAUGUUCCAUAAUCUGUUACGUUUUUUUUUUUAAACUGUGAUUGAAUAAUAUAAACCAUCUAUUUUACUUUAUAUUCUUCUAAACAGCCAAGUUUAAUUUUUUGAACUAAAUUAAUAGUUGUGCUUCAGUUUCUCAAGCCACUUAGUAUUUCAUCUGUAGUUUUAACAUGUAACUUCAUUUUUGACAUGAGAAAAGGUUAGGUGUGUGUUCCAUUUAGAGUUUGAUACUGUGAAUUUAGUGUGGGGAUGAGUCAUUUGUUCACUUCCUUUUUACAUGGUACUUUUUUCUUCAACUGUUACUCCUAAAAUACCUUGAACAGUCUUUCAGCUGUUAAUUUAGCCUGUGGGAGGAGAUAGAGAAGGAGCAGCCGGUGUGUUGGGAUGUUGGGAGUGUGUGGAAGGUGGGCUGUUCUUGUGUGCAGUAUUUGAGGUGUAUGACUCCAGCUCUCUCACUGCUGGCCUUACAGCCACGCUACUUUGUGCUAAGAUAGUGUUCAGUUUUCACCUCUGUCUCCAAACUCGUAGUUCUUGGGAGAACAGGAGAUUAUUGGAGCUCUCCAGUAGCCAGAGAGAGAACUGGCCUUCCUUAGAAACGCAGUGAACUUGUCCAAAAGGUGUCUGGAAAUGUUCCCCACUUAGCCCAGCCCCACCCUUUAGUGUCCCACAAAUAGAGUAGAAUGUGAAGUGUGCAAAGCUGACAAAGCAAGCAUAAUUUUCCAAGUAGGAAAAGCAUUUUUGUAUCGCUCCCUGCAGCCUGUACUUCAUUAGGACAGAAACCAAAAUAUAAGGUAGCUUAUUUUCAGUGUAGCUUGAUCAUAAGCCAUCUCCUUCACUUGUCCAGGCAGACAGGAUCAUGAUUCACUUGCACAGCCUAAUCUUGAGAUAUUUCAUCUUUUUCUGGUGGUAUUUUAUUGGAUGGUAGAAACUGUUUCUCCCCUGUUCUCUUCCAGAGUAAUUCUUAAGUUUUCCAUUGCAUGCUAAAAGCUUUUUUAUUUUGCUUUUUUUCUGGAAGUGGGGGGAGGAAGGGAGGACUGGGCUUUUCAGAAAGCAUACAAUUGCCAGGAUUCCCUCUUCCCUAGUAAUAGCUUGUGAAACUCUCAUGUGUGCACAAAUAUUUCUCUUGCGUGCAUGUGAAAUGCCUUUUCGUCCUGAGAAAAGUGUUCUCUGCAGAAACUACCCGUGUGUAAAAAGAAGAUUGGCUUUAAAAGGCAACUGUGAUGGGAACAGUGUCUUAGGGAGAUGCAGCUUGGACUUGAGGUAAAUUGAAUGCUUUACAAAAAUGUGGUUUUGAGCUUGCAUUGACAUUGUAUGUAAUAUGGGUACACAUUAACUGUAUAAUGGUUUUUGUAUGGUUUUUCUCAAUAAAUGUAAACUGAUGGAUAAUAA